ACGGGUUCCAUCAUCUCAUUUCACCGCUCGCAAGGGUCGAAUUAGUCAAUUACAUGACCACAUCAAGUUCUACUUAACUCUUUCAAACAUUUCUGCAAACCUCUUCCCUGCACAAAUCACCAACAACUUCGCCGAAUCCCUCGAUCUCUAAUCGAAGCUUUUAACUUCCUCCUUUACAAUUACAACCACCAUUCAAUCCCUUUGGGUCCUUCACAACUAUCCAUUUCCAUGAUGCCGUAUAUACCGCAAGAGCUAAUCACCGAGAUUCUAGCCCGAUUACCAGUGAAGUCUUUGGUACGCUUCCUCUGUGUUUGUAAGGAAUGGUACGCCCUAAUCACUGAUACUGAUUUCAUCAAAUUGCACCUCAAGAGCUCCAUCGAGACCAACAGAGACCGCACCCUCAUCCUCAACGAAGACGAGUUCUCUCCACCUUUGCGUUAUUUUUCCGCCGUUCAAUUCUCCAAGGACAAUCAGUUCCGCAAGACCUUUGAAAUUUACAAGCCGCUGCAAAACUGGGUCAUCUCGGACUAUUGCGACGGCUUGGUUUGCCUUCAUAAGGGUUACGAAAAGCUAGAGGUCGCAAUUUGGAAUCCAUUGGUCAGGAAGUACAGGAAAUUGCCCAUCGAACCAAUUGAGGAGCCCUCUUGUUUCUCGUCGGCUAUUAGGUUUUCCCAUUUAGCAUUCGGGCACGAUCCACGUAACGACGACUAUAAGGUGUUGAGGGUUACAGAGUUUUAUAUGGCAGAUAGUAUGGAGUUUGAAGUCAAGGUGUAUAGUAUGAGAUCAAACUCUUGGAAAAAAAUUGAUGAACAAUGGCCCAACAAAGAGAUAUGUUGCCAGAAGUUGUUGGCUUUGAAUGGAGAUGUGUAUUGGUUAGCUGCUGAUCGAGUUGUGCAGGAUCUGGAGUCCAUUCUUGCUUUCAAUCUCGCCACUGAGACACUCCGGCUCUAUGAGACACCGGUUCCACCAGAUGACGAUCAGUUUACGUGUUUGGAUGUGUUGGGAGGAUUCCUCUGUUAUAUUGUUAAUGAUUACUUGAAUAGUGAUGUUUAUUUGAUGAAAAAAAAUGGGGUAGAGAGUUCUUGGACACAGAUUUUUAAAAUUAAACAACAUGUAGUGUGUCGGGAUUUUGAGUAUUUCAGGACUCUGAUGUUUUCCACCAAUGGCAAGAAGGUUCUGUUGGAGGAGCACCAAGAAUGCGGUCAUACGAAUCUUAUUUGGUAUGACAUAGAAAAGAAAAGAUGCUACAGGGUUAAGAAUCGGAGUUUUCCAUAUGUGUUUAUGGUGGCAACUUGUAUCGGGAGUCUUCUUCUCCUUGAUGGUGAUAAUGUGAUUGAUCCUCGGCAGAAGAAGAAUAAGGGGAAGAGGAAGAGGUAAAGCAAUGGAGCUUAAUGAACUAUUUUGUUUUGCUUAAUUGGCUGUCUUGGUAUUGGUUUGCAUUACUGUCUUGAAGCGGUGGGUGUUUAAUGAUGGGAAGAUUUUGUGAAUUUUCAUGAAUUAAAGUCCAUCAGAAUCUGUUGGGAAAAGCAGUAAAAUGCAAGAAGGAUAAAGAGGUGAUUGUGGAGACGACUUUAUCUUUCAAAAGUAAUUUUGAUUAUUGUGUUUUUUGUGUUAACUAGCUGUAUAUAACAAAAGCUGGAUUAUUCAUGUCUUAUGGAAUAUUUAGCUAUUUUUCAACUUUUUAAUGUUAUUGAGACUUUUGCAUAUCUAAUAUGAUAAAGCUUGUUCA